rnacentral:lncRNA from 1 species
ACUGGAUUGAAGGUGAAGAGGUGUGGCUUCCAUCCAGUUUAUAAGCAAGAAGUCGAGGAGUUUGACGAAACAACAAAGCAAUGGACUCACUUUACUUCUUAUAAUCUGAAUGAAUUCCAUCACGAUUUUGUUGGAUCAAAUAUGGAAGUAGCCACAACAUCAAAGCGAAGCCUUGCAGAAAAUGCUGGGGCAGCCGAAGCCAGUGGCAGUGGCUGCUGUGAUGAUGAUUAGGAACCACUCCCCUAAAAGAUUUAGACAACUUAAAUGAAGGGCAAAGCCUAGAGUAACAGUGUAAGUACGCAUCCCAAUUUCAAUUUAAGUUCUUUAAAUUUGCACAUGGUAUUUCAUUUACUUUUUAUUUAUUCGAAUCUUGCAAUUUAUUUUCACGUUAAAUUACUAGAAAUGCUCGACUUGGAUUCAAAAGUUGGUCAGAAUCAGAAUGUUGAAGCUUGAAUUUUGUGAUUUCUCAUCAGUUGAAAAUUAAAGAAAGUGGGAAAAUUAAUCCUCCGUUUUCGUUUUCUUAACUGCAUCUCUGUUUCAUUGCAGUGUUCUCUCAUUUUGUAUCCAUUAUUACAAGUGCGAGUUUUUGGGUCCACUUGAAGGGACUGAGGACUGGGAUCAUAAUUGAUGAAUUGCAUAGCAAUUGCUAUAAGUGAACAAAAUUUAAGAGUUAUAAAUCAAUUCGUACAAGAAAUACAAACGCUGCUUAAUUAUAAUUUAAUGUUUUUUCGCUUUAAUUUAAUGUUCUUCCCAUGACGUGGCAUAACCUAAUAGGCCAUAUGUAGCCAAACCCGAUACCUAAUCGAAGUCGGUGAUUCCAACCCCUCUCUACUCCCUAUAGAAAUGGCAGCCACAAUCUCCGCGUCAGCUUGUUCGGUCCCUUAAACACUCAUUUGUCCCCAACGACGUCGUUUCAAGAAACAAACGACAAAUCAUGUCGGGAAACUUAACUCCGGCUGCAACGUCUGCAUAGGUAAAAAUAACCUCUCAAAUCUCAGUUCUGUCAUCAGUUUUUCCAAAAUCGAUUCCUAAUUUUUCUUUCUUGUUAUUAAUUUAAUUGAAUUUAAUUAAUAUUAUAGGUAAUUUAGAUGAGAAAAUGAGCGAGAGUGCUAUUAAGCUUUUUUCUAAUUCAAGCAGGGCGAGUAGUUGAUGUAUAUAUAUACCAUUAAGCUUUACGAUAUGAAUCCGAAGAGAUCGCCGAUUAUGCCAUUAAGCUUUUUUCCGGCAUUGUCACUCUCUACAAUCGAACCCUCAGAUUUGCUGUGCGUAACCUUUUUUUUAUUUUUUAUUUUAUAUUUGUAUAGUUUCAUUAAGUUUUGGCUAAAAUGCAAAUAGGCCCAAUUUCUAUAGCUUUGAGAUAAUAACACUUUGUCCCUUAGUUUUCUUAAAAUCACGAGUAAAUGUCACACUUUGCAAUUUGUUUUCGUUCGGGUCCUCAGUGAAAACAAUGAUUUCACAGUUAUUAUUCUCAGCUUCUCUAGAGACAUUUCACAUUUGCUUCAAUGUUUUGAGGAGUAAAACAUUAUACUUGCAAGUAGGUUGAUAUACAGUUGAUACGGCAGUUAUCCGCUGGGAUAUCCAAAUUUUGCAUAUGUAGUGUUACUCCCGUUAAAAUUUGGUCGAUGGUUCCAACAAUUGUUGAAGAGGAUUUUUGUGUUAAUUAUUAAGGUUUUAGAGACUUUCUGGAGAAUUUUAAGGUUAAUUAAAUGUUUUAAACAAACAGUGAAAUCAUGUUUAUAAUGUCCCACUUGAAGCUUUUUGCAUUGACAUAGACUUUGAUGAACAGCUUUCCGGGCAAGACAAAAACGCGCAAAACUCAUCCAUGACAACUACCCCUUUAUCAUCUCGUAAAUCUAGGAGCGAUACCCAUGCCAGUUAACGGUAUGGAACUUUCUCACCAUUCGAUGAGGAUUUUAGGUCCCCGUCAUUAUUCUUCCGAAGGUGAUGUCUUUCUUCCUUUUUCUUCUGUACAGUGUUUAGAUAGUAUUUGUUUUCUUGCUUUGCUGAGAAACCUUCUUUUUGAUUCAGAGCCGCCUCCUCCUGGUGUAACACUUGAAAUUAAUGGGUAUGAGACACGUCUCAAUGUUACCAAUUAUGAUUACAGUCGAAGGGUUUUUGGGGCAACAUUGGAUAGUAUUAGUCGCUCUAGAUCUGGCCGCUAUAAUAGUAGUAAUAGACAUUACUGAUGCUUAUCUUGUAUCAUAGAAAAUUGUUUGUUGUUUUAAUUGUAAAAGUAGCAUAUCUGUCAUUGUUCUGGACUGUGAAACCUGAUAAGAGGCGGUUAUUUAUUGUUAACACUUGUCCUGUAAUUAAUUGAAAUGUCUUUUUGAUUGUUGAUAUAGUUAAAUUAAUUUUAUCAUGUUGCUGCGGUAUUGGUUUGUACACUUAUUAUUAUUAUUAUUAUUUGGGAAUGAACAGGAAAACUGAUGAUUUACGUGUUUGUGUUUAUUAUAUAUAUGUUUAUUUGUGUGCUUUCAUACAUGAAUAACCCCAAUCUUAAUUUGUAAACUUCUCCUAACUUCUUCUUUAUAAAUAGUAAUAUAUCUAUAGAAGUUUCUUCGUUGCUAAAGUAGUUGAUAUCUGGUUGAGAUUGAGAUCUGACUUGCUUGAUAAUGUGGAUGAUUAUAAACAUAUAGAAAACAUGCAAAUAUUCAAGUAAACUGAAAAGGGUAAGUCAGUUAUCUUGAUUGGUUUAGUUCAUAAUUUCCUGAUUUACUCCCAGGGACUGUUGGAGAGGGACUUCCUUUGAUUUGUAGAUGUCAAAUUUGGGGUCCCCAUCAAAUCAGAGUCGGCAAGAUAUAUUUUGUAUGUCCAAUACAUUUUGCUUGAUGCUAUGAUCGAACCUUUAAUUAAUUAAUUAAUUAAUUAGUUCUGAGCUCAGUGCUGCUUUUACUUGCUUGCUCAAGUAAAUAUUUAUCACUUUGCUACUGGUCACUUAUUUUCACUUUUAAUUUGGGCUGUUUUUGUGAAUUUCAUUUGAUUCUGAGUUUUUUCAAUGAGAAGUUGUUUUUUGUAAAGUUAUUGGCUGAUUUUUGGGCCAAAAUAUUGUUUUUGCUUUAGACAGUUGUUGCUAUCCCUCUGCCUGAUCUGGGAUGCAGUGGGAAGAAUUAUAUUGGUUUGAACCCAUCCUGCUCCUUUCUGGCAUUUUGUAUAUUUAUGACACUGACCAAAUUUUGGGUGGAUUCAAAGGAAAUUCUGUGAAUUUAGAAGUUCUUUAGAGUGCCUUGUUAUCACAUUAGGCCCCAUGUGUCUUCCUGCUCGACUUGUAGAGUAGCCUGAUGUACAAAUGAACUGUUUGGCAUCUGAAUGGAAGCCUGAUAUACUUCUCUAUGUGUAUGUUCACACAUCAUGCCAGAAUGAAAGAAAAGUCCCCUUGUGUCGGUAUAACCUUAUCAGAACAGAGUCCAGAUUUUUUAGAGCGACAUCACAGGAUGUUCAUAUGGACUUCUACACGCUUCUAUUCGGUUAUAUAGCUAUUCAUACGCUAUCUACAUUGGAUGGGGACAAACCUUGGGAUGACCAGUGGUCUCCUCCAGUAGCUGAUGAUGGAACCUACCUGGAUCUGGCUUAGCGGCUGUCUAGGCGUCCUUGCCAUCAAGUAGCAGUCUUAGACAUGCAAAGAAUUAAAUGAAAUAUGAGAUGCUUCCAAUUCUCUUGUAGCUUCCUUCCUCAAUGAGUGCAGUACUCCCACAUUAUUCUGUCAGCAUCCUUCCUCCAUCGGCAGAACACAGCCGCAUUUGAUGGCAUUCUGUUUGCAAGCUUGAUGAACCAUGGUGGAUGGAAGGUGAUUGACAAAAUGCUGAGAAAGGGUAUUGAAUGUUGAAUGAGAGUGGAUGUGGAGUUUUGUUGCUUUAACUUGCGCUGGGGGGAGAUUAAAUAAUUGCGGAUUUAGGAUUAUUUGAAUGAACUUUGACGUUGUUUCUUCAGCCAAAGCAUUGGCGUCGGUUUUCAUUGAGUGAAAUUUUCUUUUGCUGGGCUGUAUACGUGAAUGUGUUGAUUUCAUUCAACUUUAGAAAAUAGUCCUACGGUGUUUAAUUGCGAUGAAGAUUGCAUUCGUAAUACUUAGAUUCUUUAUCUUCUUUAGUAAUAGAAAGGAUCGUGCAAUGAUCAUUGCACGAUACAAAGUCACCAUACACUAAACUAAAAUACAAGAAAACAUUCAAAUGCUUCACCCAUCUUUCUGGUGGCACAUGCCCCUUUAGCGGGACAAUAUAUCUACAAGCAACAGCUACAACAAAAGAGAAUGUCAUCAACCGGAUUUGCCCCCGGCAAAAUAUGCCAAGGGUCCAACCAUAGCAGCGUUGAUAUACGUUGCCGGUUCUGAGUGACUGUAGUCGCUCCGAUCAUCCGCGAACCCAUCAUUCUGGUUCAGGCCUCCGACAAUGGCUCCGACUAGGAUGUUAGGUUAGGGUUUGAUGAGUGGAAGAAAGGCUCGAAUCCACCAUCACAACGGAUGCUUCUUUGAGGAUGGUUUGGCAAUGAGGGUAAAGAAGAUCCUCUAUGAUGAAUCCUCCUCGGGAAAUUUGGUCCAAAACUAACCAUGUAAGACAUUUUUAUUGUGUUUACGCCUAAUAUAUAGUCCACCUCAAAAUUUCCAAAUAUAAUUACAUUAGUUUAAGAAUCAAAGCUCAGUGGAAAUCAAAUUAAUAAUCAACGGGACACAUAUUACGAGUAAAUCUUAGAGCAACUUGCCUGUCUUUUUGCAAGGUUUGUGAGUAAGCCUUCCUGCAACAUGACUCCUGCCCACACCCGCCCCUGUCUUCUUCUUCAUUCUUGAUGAUCGUGGUAAUUAAUUAUUUCUCCAGUUCUAUAACAAAGAAUGGCAUACAAUUUUUACUUGUCCUAAUGGUCAAUUUUCUUUUUUUUUCCCGGGUAUGUUUAAGAUUUUUUUAUUCUUUUUUACUGCAGACAAUUGUGCCAAUGAUGCUCCGGUCACUAGUGAGGUUAGUGACAGCACUAGUGUCUCAGCCAUCAGCCACUGUCACAACUCUAUUGUACUACAACAAUCUUCUCCCUCGAACCUUGAAUUUAGAGCCGCUUGUUCAUCGAGAAUUUCUCGAUCGGGAAAACUACUUGUUCCAUUUUCUCAUCAAUGUCUUGACAUGUUUCUAGUAGCUAUAUAUUAUUAUUAGCUACUUGUUCAGCAAUAUCUUUUCUAUUCUUGCUCUCCUUGCUUAUUUAUUAUUUGGGAUUGGGCUAUUCAAAAGCUCUCGUCUUUUACACAAUGCCUCUUCUCUCACUACUUUUAGACCAUUGAUUAAUACGGUUUAUAUUGUAUAUUAAUUAUGCAUUAAUUACAUAUUCAACCAAAAUAAAUAAGAGGGAUUGAGAUCCUCUCUUGAUCUGAGCACUCCUGAUAUUUUACAGAUCUUGUGCCACCUGUGUUUUAAUAUUAAUGAAUGAUUAAGAUUUAACUAUUUUUUCUUUUUCAUUUAUUAACUACUAAUUAUAUUAAUAGCACUUGCUUAGAUAAAGAUCAGAUCAGGAGAGAAUCCUGAUCCAAACAAGAGUAAUGAAUGAUUAAGAUUUAACUAUUUUUUCUUUUUCAUUUAUUAACUACUAAUUAUAUUAAUAGCACUUGCUUAGAUAAAGAUCAGAUCAGGCGAGAAUCCUGAUCCAAACAAGAGAUAGUAUGCCCGCGUGCGUGUGUGUGUGUUAUUUACAAAUAUCAAAAGUGUAUUAAUAGAAGAUAAAUUUAGAAAUUGGGUAAAAAUUAAAAGAGUGUAAUAGAGAGUUUAGCUUACCUUAAACAUUUUAUUUCGGAUUUUGCCUCAGGGAAUCAUAUUCCACGUGUAAAUGCACCCAAUAUAUUAUUGAUGAAUCAGAGAGCUUUUGCUAGUCGAAGAGAUUUGAGGAAAUUUAAGUAGACAUACAUCUCUUAUAACACACUAAGGUGUUGGUUUUGCAAUAAUAUGUUUGUCUCUGAAAAACUAGUCUGCAAUGUCAACAGCAUGAGGCAUGAAUACAUGAUCAAAAGGUGGCUAUUUCUUGCUUUGCUGUCCUUUUUUUUUUAGAUCAAUUGUGUGAAUGGACCAGUAAUGGAUGAUUUCAGGUUCAAACCAACUAUUACUAAUAAUUUAGCCAGAACUCAUUAAUUUAACGCUAGUGAUAGGUCUGUUUUACUUAUUUAUAUAUUUUUCCAUUCCAAAUUCCAAUCGGAACCCGAGCAACGACUCGUUCUCCGAUAUUAUUUUCUGCGUUCAAUAUUUGACUAGAGGGCAGUGCAAGAAAUAAAUUCUUUAUAAUAUCAACACAAGGGUGCUUAUAGUGUGUACGUUUGCAUUUAAACAAAUUUUCUGCAGCUUUGUAUACAAAGUCAGCGCAUUCAAGAUAGUGAAUUUGUCUUUUAAAUUCAAAAAAGAAAAACAAUGAGAGUAGGUCAUCUUGAUUUUGUCGAUACAUUAUCAUGGCUAAAAUGUUUGUUAAUUAAACGAAUGUGUAAUUGCCACAAGAAACUUCAUUAAUUAAAAAGAAAAAAUUACCGUAUCUAUGUUGAUUUGAAAUUUUGGGUAAUUGACGUUGUCCGUGUCAAGUGGGACUGAGUCUGAAAUAUAACUGGAGUUUUCAAUAUCCGGUGUAGAUUACUAGAAAAGGAGUUGUCGGAGCGCCCAAUGUUACAAGUACUUUUAAGCCCAGAAAAACACUCGGUUUCCACAGCCCAGCCCUUUGCAACCAGCACAGAGAAGAAGAGUAGGUCUGAAGAAAUAGUAGCUUCAUGAUCACGUAAAUUAAUUUCACUCUUUUUCAGUAGUCUCAGCGUAUCAACAGUACCAACCAACCGGCGAACAGGAAAUCAAUUAAGCUCUGAUGCUCUCUCACUGUCUCUCUUCUCUUUGAUGCCAAGAUUCAGUUUACCUUUAACAUGACUCCUCUCCGCACCCAUCCCCAUCUUCUUCUUGAAUCUUGAUGAUCGUGGUAAUUAAUUAUUUCCCCAGUUUUAUAUAAAAGAAUGGCGUACAAUUUUUACAUGUCCUAGCUCCUAAUGGUCAAUUUUUUAUCAAAUAUGUGUAAGAUUUUUCAUUUUUAUAAUUUUUUUUUUAACUGCAGUCAAUUGUGACAAUGAUGCUGAUCAGGUCACUCGUGAGGCUAGUAACGGCACUAAUGUCUCAGCCAGCAGCCACCUUCGCAACUCUAUUAUACUACAGCAAUCUUCUACCUCGAAACCUAAACUUAGAGCGGCUUGUUCAUCGAGAAUUUCUCGACUAGGAAAACUAUUUGUUCCAUUUUCUCAUCAAUGUCUUGACGUAUUUCUGGUAGCUAUGUAUUAUUAGCUACUUGCUCAGCAAGAUCAUUUCUCCACUUGUUCUCCAUGUUUAUUAUUUAGGGUUGGGCUAACUAAAAGCUCUCAUGUUUCGCACAAUACCUAUUCUCUUACUAUUUUUAGAUCGUUGAUUAAUACAAUUUAUACCGUAUAUUAAUUAUGCAUUAGUUAUAAGUAUACAUAUACGCGUAUAUGUUAUAACAUACAUAUAUCAAAAGUGUAUGAGUGGAAGAUAAUUCUAGCAAUUGAGUAAAAAUUAAAAGAAAAACAAUAUUAAAGAUCUCAAUAUUUGACUUCCAAAGAGAGUAAUAGAGUGCAAUUAAGUAGACAUAUAUCUCUUAUAACACAGAAGAUGAAUGGUUUUAAAUUUUGCGUAAUUAAUAAAGUUGGUAGUCCAUUAUGAGGUUGAAUUGCUGAUAAGAACAAGGUGAGAAAUCGAAUGUCGAAUCAUGAAAAGUAAUUUCGUAGUUAUGAGAAUGAUAAUCAGAGUACUUUAAGGUAUUGUAUCUCACAUUCUGGACAUUGUCAAAUGGUUAGAAAAUCAAUAAAAGUCAAUAAAAUAUAACCAUAUGACAAUGCAUAAUAUAAUUUUUUCAAAUUAUAUCAUAGUAGUCUAUUGAUGUUUAUAAUAAAAAUCAUACCAAAAUUUCUUAGAUCAAAGUCUUGAUGGAGCAACUUAGAUUUCUCGGCCCAAAACAGGUUACUUCUAAAUAAUCAUCCUCCAUUCAACAAGACUGGAAACUUAUCAAUGUUGUUAGUUAUAAUUUGAGGUUAAAACUAAAUUAUAACAAACCCCUAUUUAAUAUCGCCCGUGCAUCAAAUUGUAUCAAUUCAUAGCUCUAUUCAUGCAUUCUAUAACAUUUAGUUGUUUUUCAUUUCAUUUAAAAUUCUUCUAUUUCCUUUAUAUAAUUUGUAUGUUAUUUUACACUUAAUGUUGAUUUAUAUGUUUUAUAUUACUUUUGUAAACUAAUGUUAUGUUUACUAAUAAUACAUCAUUUUACCACUCCUAUGUUAAUUUUACUUGUUUUGCCUUCUAUUUAUAAGUCUUAUGUUUUAUUUGCUUAAUUUAUAUUUUAUUUUACACUUAAUGUUGAUUUAUAAGUUUUAUAUUAUUUCUGAAAAUUUAUGUUUUGUAUAUCAAUAAUAUAUAUUUUUACCUCUCCAGUGUUAAUUCUAAAUUGAAUAAUGAUAAUUUUGGGUUUAUGUAAUACAUAUGAUGAUAUAUAUGAAAUUUUAUUAAGGAUAAAACUUAUUCUUAAAAUUGUAAUGUAAAUACAAAAUUGAGGUUAAAGAAAAAUUGCACCUGAUCUGAAUUUCAAGAAUUCUAUAUCAACUUGUAGUAAAUUGAAUUUCAUAACCGAAUUUUUCUGAAUGCUUUCCCUGCAUAUUCUUCACACAAAAACGAGCUAAAUGGUCGAAUUAUAGGGUAUAAAGCCAGAAGAAAAUAUCUUGAAGAAACCAAAGAUCCAUGGAUUUUUUAUGCUUAUUACCAAAUAGGUUUAACUAUAUGAGUAACCUGCAUUUAGGAACUUGAAUAUUGAUAAUGCAAUAAAAAAUCAAUUAUUCUUUUGGACAGACUUUUUGUCUAGACUCCAAUGAAACGAGAAUAAUUAAUACAAAGAAUAUAAAAAUGUCAGCAAAGUAAUGAUGGUAACGGCAUUACAAAUCUAAGUAGCCAGAAAAAAAAAAGCUAAUUGUUACUUGUUUAGGACAUUAUGCCAAGCAUGUUGUGGGCAAAUACAAUUCAUUUGUUAUAGAAUGUAAUCUUACUCAAUCAAUUAUGGAUGGCUCCCGUUCUAGCAAGCUGGUUUUAUAAGAAAACAUUUUCAACCAAUUCCAAAAGACAAUAGUCAAUUCUUUCAUCAAGGAUAUCAUGCAUGUUACUGAAGGAUUUCCAAGCAUCUCAUUUUCGAUAAACUAAUCAUCAUGGCAAUUGUAGCUUAAGUUUUAAUGAAGAUUUACUUAAAAACUGGAGAGUUAAAUAUGUCAAAACCUUCAAGGGCGGCAUUCCAUCUGGUCUUGAUUGGCCUCUUUGCUUGAGCAAGCUCAUGCAUUGAAUCAUGGCAAUAUUCCACCUUUAAUUGCUUCGGCCAAUGAAAAAUUGACAGAUAGAGACAAUAGGUUGGCUUUUUGUGUACCUACAGAUGGUGCCAAAUGUUGGCACCAAAAUCUGGUCGAGUCAGUUAGGGGCUUGAUAUCAGACCUCUAUGUCAACAUUAAAUUUGUUUGGUGGGGAAGCAGCUUGCCAAUCGUUACAUCCUGUAUCCACUUGGCAAUAUUCUAUAAACAUUAAAACAGUAAGAGGUGCCGAAUGUUCCAGUCAGUUCAUUUUAAAGUGCGGGAAAGUUUAAAAACCGCAUGGUUUUAAAUACUUAAAAUUGUACGCCUUUAAAGCCGUGCAGUUUUAAAAAUUUCCCGGACUAUCCCGCACUUUAAAAUUCAUGACCAGAAAACUACUAUAUAUAUAUAUAUAUAUAGUUUCUCAUGUAAUUGAGAUGAUGAUGAUGAUGAUACAAGUGAUGAAAUGUGUUGAUGCCGAAAUCUGGUCGUCCUCUUAGGCUGACUAGGUUAUCUCGUCAAUGCUUAUGCUAGCUCUGGUUAGAUCACUACACCUUUUGUUCCCUUCCCAAUUCGAUGAAUCCAGCAACUUCAGCCAACCUUACUCUUUCCCCGUAACUUGCACUCACAUAAACAGAUCAAGGGUGCUGGUGGUUUUUCCGGCGAGAACCUUCCAAUGCUUAAGUCAGUAUACGGGGUUUCGGGAAAAACGUUGGAUCUCAAAUCAAUGCAAGAUAAGGAUUGUUUAGUGAAAGAAAGAUUCUCUAAAGGCUUUUUACAGAAGCGAAUUCUGAAUUCAAAAUGGUAGAGUUUCUCUUUGUUCUCUAUUUUUCCUCCUAUUCUUCUGUCUUUUUUUUGGGGUUUUAUAGGCAGGCGUUCAUGUCGUCUAGAACGUUCUUCCACAUCCUCCAUAUUUGGGUGAUCAUGGAUCCUCAUGGACUGCGAAAUACGUGCGUUGGUUAUCGUGUUUUCCCAAACAGUUUGGACGUGGCGAAACUGUUGCGAUAAUGCGAGAUCGUGCCCGCUUUUUAAGUAACAGUUCUUUGGUCGAUCUACAACUGUAUUCCAAAGGGUGCUUUAACACUAGGAUAUCUGCUCAUAUUUCCCUAAGUCAAGGAGAUUGCCCCUCAACCAGAUGAACAAGAACAUGCGUGGCUGGUGCUCUUUUAAUCACCUAAACACCAGUCCCCUAUGUUUCUAGUGUAGCGAGUAAAACGAGGCAAAACUAGAAAUUUGGAGCCGAAUAUAGUCAUACAUGAGUUUAGUUAUCUAGCUCUAAUCUUAUUAUGACGGAGCUGAGGUGGCAUUCUCUGCUUAGGUGAUUUCUGAUUGCGAGACAAUAAUGUAGACCAGAUACCAAUGUUUUCAAGUAUACUACCGAUCUGACUUCUUGUCAUGUCAUUUUAAAUGUCGGUGACAUGGUACUCUCUGCACGCAGUAUUUAAAAUUUAAAACGACGAUUUAUCUACCCUCGAGAAGCGUCGAAUGAACUGACACUUGCGUUACUUAAACGCUUCUUUUUCUCUCCUUCAUGAAAUCCCUAAAUCGAGGAUUCUAUUAAACUCGUCCUUCAACCUCCUACUGGGUGUCUUCUUUACGCCGGAGAUUCCCCUUUUUUUUUUUGCUGUCUUUACUGCUACAGUGACAUUAUCAACGUUAAACCCUCCUAGGUAUCGCCCUCUGAACUCAUCUCUGGUUGUUGUUGCAUUAGUUUUGUGUUAUCCUUUCUUUGUUCGAGUACUUGGAUUUGUUGUUUUUUCUUAAAAAUUUCCCAUGGCGAAACGAAAAGAAAAAAAUAAUCGAGAUUGAGAGUGAUGGGGAAAUAUAUUCUUACCCCCAUUGAUUCAGAUAAACUCCCCUCGAUCCCUAGAUUCCCUCUAGUGAUGUAGGCCCCUCUCGCAGUGAGAACACUCUAAGACAUCCACCAUUAGAAGCUACUCCAUCAUUGUCUGGCCAUAAACCCAGUGGGGAUGGCGGUGAGCAAACAUCGGGCUCUGGCAAAAGCUGCGGCUCCAGUGGGGCAGAAAGUCUUUAGGAAGAGACUAGUAAUGAAAAGAGUAACCCCGAGCCGAACCGACCAGCUAAGAAACAAAACCUUGGUCAUAAGGUAGAAGUUGAUUCCUAUCCUAUUGACUUCUUGAAGUGUAGCACCACACAAAAUGAUCUAUUCAAAUUGAAAAGCCUUUAUUAUAUCCCCGACGACGUCCAUCACGUCAUUCCCGGGAAAGGUGAUGUCCUUAGUUGGCCUCAUAGAGGCUACGUGACCUUGUAUUUAGAAUGUUUCAAACUAGGAAUUAGAUUGCCCAUUCAACCCUAGUUUGCCAAGGUAUUGAGUGACCUGCAUUCGGCUCCUGGUUAGCUAAACUCAAACAGGUGGAGGGUACUCUCAGGCCUGUUCAUGCUGUGGGCUAGGUGUGAACUCAGAGAGCCCACCAUUGAGGAAAUAAAAAAUUUAUAUCAGCUGAGGAACAGCCCAAAAGAUGCAGGCUGGUACUACUUCAUGUUAAGCUCUGCAAAAAUGAAACUUAUCACAGAUUUUCCUUCUUCAUGUAAAAACUGGAAGAAUAAAUUCUUCUUGGGGAAAACUGGGGUCCAGUGAUUCAGUCGCCUAGUAGUGAUAUUCACAUCCCCACGAGUUUUUACACCCUAGGUCAUUUGUUAUUCUUUGUAUGUCAUGCCUUUAGUUGUUAUUCACAUUUCCUCUUACCCUUAACUGUACUUUUCAGAUUUUUGGGGCUUAGUUUACAACAUCGAGGACGAAUUGCUACUCAAAGUCCAGACUGCUCUUGUCAACACAUGUACGUGCAAGGACCUUCUAGCGUCAACAAGUCUCGUCGAAUCCCACCUAGUUGACGUAGCUACCGGGAUGGAUAACAAGAUCCUCAGUGUUAUGGCAAGGAAACGUGCUCGGGGUUCAGGGGAUUUAGCAACACCCCACCUCACAGAAGAGAAGUAAUAUCGGCCCAACCAAGACCCUUCCCCCAGCUCUGCCUCCCCCUCCAACCCGAAAGGUGGGGGCGAGAAAUCUCGUAAGAAGAGUCCUGAGAGCGCCAUUCCUUCUAUGGAUUGGGCUUCAUCACCCCCACCCCGAGACGAGAGCGAUUACUUGGGCAUAUACCAAAGGGAGUACUCCAAAGAGGUGGGGUUGAAGUUGGUUAAGGAGCUUGAGGGUAUGAGUCUUACCGAGUAGAGAGACUACAUCCAGAAGAUUGCUUUUCAGCUUGCUACAACAGUCUUUUGCUAUAAGUUCGAGACUUUGCGCCAUAAGAAGAAACGGUAAGCGGAGAUCCAAGAUCUGAAGAAAAAGGCUAAGUUUACUGAUCGCUCAAAGGAGAAGGUGAUUGAGCUGCACAGGCAGGUUCUAGACCUCGAGGAAAAAGUUACUCUUACUGAAUCUAAGUCCACUCUGCUUGAUAGCGAGCUGGCGGACUUGAAAUUCGAUUUGGACGUUGCUUUAAGCGAGUGAGACACUCAGAAAAUAGCGCACGAAUGACAAAUUAAGUCUUUGGAAUUGUUGAUAACUGAGUUGAAGGAUAAGGCCAGCGACGUAGAGGAUCGAAUGGACAUAUAAUACAACUCUGGGUUUGCCUUAAACUAUAGAUGUAUCAUGUCCGUCCUUAAAAAAGAAUAUCCCGAGCUAAAUAUAGACAACUUAGAGGCAGGUAUGAAUUAAUAUAUGGCCGAGCAAAGCCAAGGGAACAAUGGUCGAGAAAGAGCUCCUUUAAGAGUUGAAGAGCAGGAAAAAGAGAUGAGGGACAAGGCGCCAAACAUAAGUGUGGAGGCGGCCCAUGCUACUUCUGGUAUCGUUGAUCCCUCCUCGGCUAAGGUUAUGGAUUCCUCCCCUGCUGAAGCAGUCGAGCCUCUUUCUCAAGACCCACAAGUUUUUGCUUUAUGUUUAAAUCGUUGACUUUUUAGUUGGUUGUAUAUUUUGGAAUAUUUGUAAGUUUUUGGUUUCUAAAUAGUUUCAUGUUCUGCCUUCUGAAUGUUUAAUAUAUUAUGACAAAUUUAGACUUAGCAACUGUUUUCAUCAUGUGGUUUGUCAUGUUAAAUACAGAAGAGCUGAUAGCAAGAUACGUUAAGAAAUUAAAUGGAUAAUCAAUGAUCACAACAUAAAUCCCUCUUGUUCAACAUUUUUUUUUUAAAUUUCCCUCAUGUUUCAAAAUCAAAGCCUUGAUAUAAUGAUUAAUAUUUUUUUUAAUUCCCUUGUAUUUUUAUUUAUUAAAACCAUUAAAAUAUGCAUCAAUUUUGUGACGGGGUGAGGGUAGCAGAAGCGUAAUUGAUAGGGUAGGAAAACUAUAUAUCGUUCUGUGAUUAGUUUACACUUUAAUCGAAGUAUGAUUAGAUCUUGUUCUAAUCCAACGAUUCAAUGAGAUUUUUAAUAACGUGUAAAGCGAGAUUAAAUGAUACUCUAAUCCAAACGAUUCUACCAGAAAGAUUUUGAUAUAUAAUACCCAAAGAGAAUUAUAAAAAAAAAAAAAGAGAUUUUAUUAAAUAACUAAAUCUAAGCUAGGGCUAGACACUAUACAGUUCGGUUCGGUUUAAACAAAAAACCGAAUCGAGCUGAAACCGAUCAGUUCUCUCAAAUUAGAACCGAAGGCAACCCGAAAUUUAAAACCAAAUCGAACCGAACCAAAAUUUUUCGGUCCGAUUUGGUUCUGGUUCUGAAUUUCAGUUUAGUUCGGGUUAGCUUCGUUCUUUUCAAUUUCAAGUCUACAAUUUUCUCAUGUAUUAAACUUAUUAACUUUACAUACAAUGUAAUAAAACUCAGCAAAAUAAUAAAGGCCCAAUACAUUAUAAAUUGACAAAAACAAAAAAAAAAUAUAAUAUUUUUUCAUUGUCAAAAUAAUAAUAACAAACCAAAAAUCUCGUGGGUUUGAAAAUGACUAUUUUCCCACAACCAAACAAGGCCAGCACACGGGGUUUCAAUAUCAACAUUUUUAAUAACCAACAAUGCCUCCAAAAUCACCAUUUUUCCAACAACCAAACAAGGCCAACCCAUGCGUGUCAAAGCAGGCAUUCGGCAACAGCAACAAAUACAAUACACCAAAAGCUAGCGAGUCUGCAAUAGGAACAAAUACUCCAAAAAAAAGCUAAAAAAUCAAAAUUUAAUAUUGUUACUGUACUUAGACAAAGAAAUGCAUCUAGAUCUAUAAUAUUUGUUGUGAGAGAAACAAGAAGAAACUAAGAAUCUUUGUGUGGUGGCCGACGGCCGGCAAUGAUUCUGGCUGAAGGACGCUGUUCUAGGGUUGUGACGAACGGCCGGUGGCUAACAGGUGGUUGUGCUAAAGGGUUGACGAUGGUUGUGUGGUGCAUGAGGAGCGGCUGCCAUAUGCGUGUAUGGUGUCAAAGAGGAGUGGUUUCUGGCUGUAGAAAUAGGAUGUGUUGAUCCGAGUGUGAGGGAUGGUGUGCUACUGCUGUGUUUGAGAGAUAAGUGUGUGAGAUUUAGGUUUCCGUUUACUAUAUCUAUGUGUGUGUGUGUGUAUUAAAAUAUUUUUUAUUUUUAAAUGAAAGAACCUAAUGGUUUUUCGGUUCGGUUCAGUUUUGAGCCGAACCAAAUACAAACCAACUGAUUCUUUAAUUUCCAAACCAUUCGAAUUUUACCUUUAAAACUGAAUCGAACUGGAUUGAACAAUAUCGGUUCGGUUCGGUUCGAUAAAAGCCAAACCAAAUGUCCACCCCUACUCUAAACUAUGAAAACAAUAAACAAGAUUAAAAUAAUAAAGGAAAAUGGAAUGUAAUAAUAAAUGUAAGAUUAAAAUUUUCAGUGAGGCAUGAAGUGCACUAUGAUAUUAUUUUAAGUGGUUUUUCUAGUGGUGUUUAGAAGAUUUUCAAGGUUAAAUAGCUAAGCUAGCCUUAGCAUAAGGAUUAAAUCAUAUAUUUGAUAUAAUAUCAUUUUUUUUCUGUUUCAUUAAUCUUAUUUUAGGUUACAGUGUAUAUAAAAUUUAAAUGUAAUUUCCUGGAGGAUGCUCAGACAUCAAUUUUGUCAGCUAUUUAAUAAACUAAAUAAGCACAUCUUUUUCCCGAGAUAAUGACUGUCGUGCGAGGAUGAAAUUUUAUAAUUUUUAUUAAAUCCUUUGAAAUUUGUCAUUUUUUUUUCUAAGGAAUCUUCUAUUGAAACUUUUGAUUGGGAAAAAGAUGUGAUCCCAAUCACCUACUAAAUAACAAGAAGAGGAGACAAAGAAAAUAUGCCAAAGAAAAUAUAGAGGCGUUGGUUUGUUCCAUGUAUCUUCUUUGUCAUAAUAUCUUUUUUGUUUGUUUAAUUAAAGAGUCUAAAUAUUUUUACAUUUUGGCAAGACACUGUUGAUCAGACCUGCCGUUGGCAUUUAAAAGAAGAAAAAUAAUUAAUGUGAUUUCUUCAAAUUUAUUAUUUCAUUAUACCUGUAUUAUUAUUCCAUUUAUUAUUUCUCCAAAUUUAUUAUUCCAAAUUUAUUUUUAUAAAAGAAAAUUUUAUAUUUAUAUCUUUAUUAUUUCAUUUGUCUUAUUUUAGUUUCUUAGUAUUUAUUGUAAUAUAAAUACUUCAUAAAUAUAUGUAUUUCUGUUUCAUAUAUACUUUCCUGGAAGAUAUUCCAAAAGUAGAUUAAACAAACAAAAUGAACUAUUAUGUCACCUACUAAAGAACAAGAAGAGACAAAGAAAAAAUAAAUAAAUAAUUACAAUAAAGAAAAUGAUCAGUCGAGAGGUUGGUUUAUUCCAUGUAUCUUCUCAGUCAAGACUACUUUUUGUUUUAUUAAAUAGUCUAAAUUAUCAUUAUUAUUUCACUAUAAUUGAAGAAGAGUUUGGUGUUUAGAUUAUUGAAGCUUUUGUUAUCUUUGACUCUAUCUUUGAUUCCAUUCUCCACCGUAGACCAUUGUUGCUCUUUAGUUUGAGUAGACCUACUGUCGCAAGCGAAAAUGGAGGAAUUAAUUAGAAAGCAUGAAAUCCUCUCCUUGAUUUCUUUGAAACAAACUUAAUUGGAAUCCAAAGUUAAAAAAGUUAGCAAAGUUAAAGAAUUGCUAAGGUACUUUACAAAGUUCAUAAUUUCCAAGCAUUGACAGAUAAUGCAUUAACAAAUACAGAAAUGGUCAAAUUACAAGCCUCACAAGUUGCUAUGUUUCUCUUGAAGGAUGAUUCAAAUUCGUUAUGUUUGUUAGUUAAGCGGCUGACGUGGACUCCACUAACAAGUUUUACCUGAGUUGAUUCUCCUUGACCACUGCUUGCAUAAAAAAUCUGAAUAAUAGGGGUAUUCAGAAUCCAAUCCGAUCCACUCAAUCCGUUUGAUCCAUAAAAAUUCGAUCCGUGGAUUGGUGGAUUGGAUUGGUUUGAAAAUUUGAUAAUCCGCAAUAGGUAGAUUGGAUAUCGAUUUAAUUCUGUAAAUCCGCAAAAAUCCGCGAAUCCGCAAAAAAAUAAAAGUAUUUUUUUAAUUAAAAAAAUAAAACUUGUAAAUAUGACAUUAAUACUUACUUAUAAAUAAAUAAGUUAAAAUAUGAUUACAUUAACACUAUAUUAUAUCUUAUCCGAUAAUAAUAUAAAAUAACAAAUAAUUAAAUAAACAAGUAUAGAUUCCUAAAUAGUUAAUUUUCAUGUAUUGAUCUAAACGAAUGAGAUUUUUUUUCAUUUUGCUGUGUUAUAUUUUGAAACUUUAAAUGCACUUUCUAGCUUUAUUUAAACAAUUAAUUUAUUUAAAUUUUAUUUAAUUUUAAAUUUGAUCGGUAGUAAAAUUAUUUUUAUAUUAAACUUUUUUAUUUAGUUAGUUCGUGAAUAAUAACUUACAACUUCUGAGGCUUGUAACCAAAUAUGCCUAAAACCAAUUAUUUCUAAGGGAAAUGGACAGAACCAAUUAUUUCUAAGGGAAAUGGACAGCUUUUCUUCCCAAGCUUUAAGCAACUUCAAAGAAAAAUGUCAAGCCGUCAAGUUUUACUUUCCAAUCUUUACUUAUUGCAAUGAGAAAAUACUACAAUUUAAAAAAAAAAAAUUGGAAGAUUGUAGUGGAAUUAUUCCAAAAGAAUAUUUUAUUCAUUUUUCCCUAAAAAAUGCAAUUACACCAUAAAUCUUUGCUAUUAAUUACUCCAUAGAAAAAUUUUGGGUGCUCUUAGAGCAUUGUUUCUUUUUCAUUCUCUCAUUGUCAUGCGUAUACUUUCAGCCAAUCAUACUGAUAAGCAUACACAUGUGUAAACAAUGAAUACAUAAAUACCAAUACUCUAGGGACACUGAAGUUCUUCUCUCAUUCUAUACUUAGGAUUUGAAAUCUUAGAUCGUAAGAAUUAUCAACAUAAGAGUGUUAUUUGAUUAUAGAAGGAUUGAGUCUCCAUGUAUAGGUGCAUCAAAUAUCGUAAAACUAGAUUCCUACCAAAAAUUAAUUAAAAUUUCAAGAUACAAUUAGAGAAUAUGGAGAAAACGAGUCAUCUAUCAGCAUGAGAAUCCUACAAUUUAUUAAAAAGAAACGAGUUUAUUGUGUUUUAAUGUUUUAUAAUUUACAACAUUGUAAAAGCCCAUUUAUAAAAUUAUAAACUCAUCUUGCAUUUUAAUAAAGUACAAGAUUCUCUUAUUGAAAAAUUUUCGUGGAGAAAAUUAUGGGUUUUGUUAGAUAUAAAAUCAGUCGGCUUAGUCCGAGUGGCUAGGGCUGCUGCCCUGGAGGGCAGUAGUUCGAACCUCCACAAAAGCAUUGUAGGGGUAUUUCCUUCCUCAAUUAAUUGAGUGAAGGUAGUCUUCUCCCUUACCCAUGAGUGAGGAGUAGACAUUGAAGAUGCCCUUAAUAAGAUGUAUAAGGAAAUCCUUACUUUUGUUGUGUAGAUUAUUGAAGCUAGCUUUUCUCAACAUAUUUCUCUUGCUUCCUAUAAUACACUCAAAAGCUGUAAGUUUUUUUUUUCUUAUACAUAUUUCUCUUUCACUUUCAGAAUUAAUUCCCACAUCUUGACGUUUAAUUAAUUAUUAAUAUCAACCAUUGGAUUUCAUUUCAUUUUAAUGGAAUCCAAUGGUUUCAACAUGGGUAAUGGGCAGAGUGGCAAAACUGCUUAAUUAGUCAUUUACAAUCUUAAUUACAAUAAUUUAAUUGUAAAAUUUACUAAAUACAUCCAAUUACUUUUAAAAUUCAUAGAACUUUUGAAAAUAAAUUUAUCAAACAUUUAAUUAAUUAUCUUUACAGAUAGUUAUUUAUAUAAUAUAGUUAAUGACAAUUAUUUUAGAACUACAACAUUAUUAAAUUAAUCCAACAUCUCCUGAGAACUCAGUUAAAAUUUUACAAAUAAAAGGUUUCCCAUUCCCAUAGAUUGCCGGCAAUUUAACUUAUGUUGAUCAAUUAUUGAUAUCAACCGUUGGAUUUCAUUCCAUUUUAAUGAAAUCCAACGGUUUCAACAUGGCUAGUGGGUGGAGUGGUGAAGACGCGUAAUCAAUUAAAAAGCCAGUUAACUUUCGUUUGGAUUCCUUGAAGCUUCCAGGAAGCUUGAUGGCAACUUCAUCGUGAGAGUAAACACCGACAAUAUUUAUUAAUAAUUAUUAAGAAAGUCAAGCGUUGACCAAGACUUGCUUUUGGAAACACAUACAUUAGCUGAUUGCUUAAUUUCUUUUUUCCAAAACAGUAUAUUUGCAUGAUUAAAUUCUGUGAAUCAAUAUAUUGCAUUGGAGUUCAUUUAACUAGCUUCCUGCAAUACACUCAAAAGUCGUAAGUUCGAUCUUAUAAAUCUCUCUCUAUUAUUUUCAGAAUUAAUUUGUAUAUCUUGAUGCUUAAAAAGAGCAAAAAAAAAAAAAAAAAUUAAAUAGAAAGCAAUCUUUGUAUGUUAAUUUUGUGCAAACUUUUUGCCUUUUCUUGGUUAUUAGAUGCUCUAAUCGAGAUUUGCUUUAAGUAGAAAUUGGCGUGCACACUCUCCAAUCAGCAUGUGCAAAAAAAAUUUCUAUUACGUUUUGAAAUUGAUCAUGUUUAAAUGAGAGGCUGAUGGAUUGCUGUCUAGUUUGUUUAUAGAAUAAGAUCAUUAGUUUUGAAAUCAUAACCAUUCUCAAGUUUAAAAACUUUUUAAGUUAGUAAACUCUGACUUUAAUUAUAUUUAAUCAAAUUCGCUCACACCAUCAAGGUUAUUUAUUAAAAAAAAAAUUGCGAUUUAUAUAUGUUUGUCCUCUUUUAGGCGGUUGAAAAAGAAAAUGGAAAAUUUUUAGUUUUUGUCAGUUUUUCUAUCAAAAUUUCUUUGCAUAUACAUAAUCUCGAUGAUUAGUUAUAACCUUAAUAUUUUUAAUUCUUUCUAGUGAUAUUAAUUUAACUCUAAUAAUUUCUUUUAACAUGAACCUAUUGUAAAUUAGUCUGUUAUAAAACAAACACAAGACCUAGGUCAAAGGACAUCAUGAAAUUAGAAAUUCCUUGGGCAUGGAUUAAGCAAUAUCUUGUAAUUAAAUGUUUACUUUUAUUAUAUAUAAGAACUAUUUCAAUAUUUUUAUUUUUAUUAAAAUAAUAGGUUUUGUCAUAAAUUUAAAUUAUAUAUUUAAGUACAAUAUUAAUAUGAAUUAUUAAUAGGUCUAAAUAAUAUGAAUUUUAUAAUAAAUAAGUAUAUAUUAUGUUAUUUUCAUUAUGUAAAAGAAUUAUAAUCAAUUUCAUUUUAUUUUUUAAGUAAGCUUACUAUUAACUUAAAUAAAAAGGACUACUUUAUACAUGCAAAGUUUAGCUAAAGAGCUGUUGAUCCGAGGAUGUCGGAGAUCUCCGAAAACUCAGAACUUCCCGAAAACCCUAACCUGCUGAAAGUGCCUCCACCGCCGCUGAAUGAAGAUCGGUCCACUAAAAAGGCGCGGUUUCGCAGUCAUGGUAUAGUUGAAGAUAAUCCAUCGCCGCUAUCCUUCAAGGAAGCGCUUGUUCCCUCUAACCAACAUAGAAACUUUGAUGAUGCUGAGAUGGAUGAAGAUUGGGACUUUGAACCUGGCGAUGUGAUGGUUGGAGAAGAUGGCACCAUGCCAACUAUUGUGUUCUCAAAAAGAGUCCAUGAUAAACUGACUAAACCUUGGCAGAAUUCUGUGGUAGUGAAGUUAUUGGGGAGAAAUAUUGGAUAUAAGGCUUUAUGUAACCGUCUAAAGGUAAUGUGGCCUAUGAUUCACGAUUUAUCUGUGAUUGACCUCGAGAACAAUUAUUAUCUAGUUCGUCUUCACUCACCAGAGGAUGCAGUCUAUGUUUUAACAGAGGGGCCAUGGGUAAUCUUUGGGCACUAUUUAACAGUGCAGCCUUGGACUCCACUUUUCGACAGCACCGUUACUGAUAUUGCCUCAGCAACUGUUUGGAUCCGCUUACCUGGCAUGGCUUUUCAUUUAUAUGACAAGCGUGUUCUGAGGAAAGUUGGACAACUUGUGGGCACAGUUAUUAAGAUUGAUUAUCAUACCGAAUCAAGGGAGAGGGGAAAGUUUGCGAGGAUUGCUGUCCGUGUUUCUCUUUCUCAGCCAUUGGUGUCUCAAUUUAAUCUAGACGGAAAAAUUCAGAAGGUUGAAUACGAAGGGCUGCCAAUUAUAUGUUACCAGUGUGGUAAAUAUGGUCACACCAGCAUUACUUGUCCUGAAAAACAAGUUGCGAAUGGGGCUAGGGCCGAGAGUUCGGUGAGUUCUCCACCAGUUAACGUGACAGCUGAUAAGGAUGGUGUCUCAGCUAUGGCUAAUAACAGUGGCGAGAAAUUUGGUCCAUGGAUGAUUGUGGCACGAAGAGGGAGACCUAAAGGAUUUGUGGACAAGGAGAAUAUCACUGAUUCAGAGAGGAAUCAACGUAUUAACUAUAGUACGACUUCCCGUUUUGCUGCUUUAGUUGAUGAGCCUGAUACAGCUACUGCGACGGAAGUUGCUGUCCCGGAUCCCACCAUUGUCCCCCCCAGCAACCAGCUAAAUCCAUUACCGACCACUUUCACACCCGAAGGAACCACCCUCUGAAAACCCUUAGCACCUUAAAGCCUCAUAAUCAUCUAUCCAAAGCUAAACAAGUGGCCAAAUCACAGCUUCCACGUCCUAAGCAACAGAACCCCAAACCAUCUACUUCCAUGCAUACAAAUUUACGUCCCGAUAUUCAUACGGAUCACUCCACCCAUAAUAAGGUCCCUAUCCCGUAUCCCUUAGGCCAUUCUCUUAGCCUGCCCGUUGAGCCUUCUUUCACCUUGACCACCCUGGAUCCUCACAAGCAUACUGCCGUGACCUUUCCCAUAGCUAGCCAUGAGAUUGUGGGUAAUCAACCAGGCUACUCACGUGGAAAAGUGGCUGAUAACCUGGAGCCGCAACUCUACCCAAAACAAUUAGCUGAUCCUCCUGAUGUCAGGGAAGACGGGACUUUUAAUCCGAUGGAGUUUUAUGAUGGUGACCCUCAACUUGCAUUUGGCAAUGAAGAGGAAAAAUUUAUGUCUGAUGAUGAAAAUACUUUUGUUAAUGAAACCCCUGGCGUGCAUGGAGGAGGGGCCAUAGGGCCUAGUAUGUAAGGGUUCUAUGCUCACCUGUUUGCUUUUAUUUUUAAUGAUGUACAAUAUAAUGUUUUGGAAUUGCCAGGGAGCACUCUCGCCGGGAUUUUGCAGGACUUUUAAGACUCUUGUCAGUAAUUAUAGACUGAAUAUGGUGGCGUUAUUCGAGCCUCGCAUUAGUGGAGCAAAGGCUGAUAACUUCAUUAAAAAAAGUGGCUUCCAGAGGUCUCAUCGGGUGGAAGCUAGGGGUUUUUCUGGUGGCAUUUGGAUUUUGUGGGAUGACAGCUUUGAGGUAGAUUUUAUCAUUAAUCAUAAUCAAUUUAUUCACUUUAGAAUAAUUGAUUCGAAAGGUUGUAGUUUCUGGGUCACGGCAGUUUAUGCGAGUCCGACACCCAUGGUAAGGAAAAUUUUAUGGCCGGAGUUAGAUAAAGUUGCCAAGUCUGUUGAUGGUCCGUGGAUGAUUGGUGGGGACUUCAAUGCGAUUAGAAGAGUAUCUGAAAAAAAAGGAGGGUCAGCCAGGAUAAGUGGUGUGUGUGAACUCUUUAAUGGAUGGUUCCAUCGAAACCAUCUCAUGGAGCCUGUCUUUAAAGGACCCCAAUACACAUGGUCAAGAGGUAACUUAUCAAAAAGGUUGGAUCGUGUGAUUUGUAAUGAAGAGUGGAUGAUGAUGAACGAUGAGGCAGAAGUUUUCCACCUCCCCAAAUUAAAUUCCGACCAUAGACCGGUGAUGUUUCGUUGCAAGAAAUACAACUCCGCUUCCACGGGCGUGAAACCUUUUCGGUUUUUGGCUCCCUGGCUGACUGAUGAGAGAUUCCAACCUUUUGUGGAAAAUAACUGGAGGUGCAAUUUGCACUAUACUAAUGCUGUGGCUGAUUUUAUCGACAAGCUGGGAAACUGGAAUAAAGAUAUUUUUGGUAAUAUUUUUAAAAGAAAAAAGGAGCUGCUGGCUAGAAUUGGUGGCAUUCAACGCUUUCUGGAGAAGCGUCAGUCUAGGAGUUUAAGCAAGCUAGAAUCUAAGCUAAAGAGGGAUCUUGAAAAAGUGUUAUCUCAAGAGGAAGUGUUAUGGUUCCAAAAAGCUCGGAGAGAAUGGCUUGUCUGUGGGGAUAGGAACACAGCUUAUUUCCAUCAAAAAUCUAUAGAGAGACGCCGACGAAAUAAAGUUGGUAUGAUAAAAAAUGAUGAGGGGCAGUGGAUCCAUGACGAAGCUGCUAUUAAAGCCCAUGCAGUUUCUUAUUUUUGUAAUUUGUACACGAAGGAGGGAGGUGUUCCUGUCCAAUACCCUUUUACUCUUGACUUCCCUUUAAUUGAUAAUGUUGUGCUUAACAAUCUGAUCAGAGGUGUUGAUGAUGCAGAGAUUAGAGAUACUGUUUUUACCAUGAGCCCAAUGAAAGCCCCGGGUAUUGAUGGCCUUCAUGCCAUUUUCUUCCAGACCCAAUGGCAUGUGGUGGGGUCUUCAGUUUGUCAGCUUAUUAAAGAUGUUUUCGCGGGAAAGAAAUUGCCCAAGGAAUUGAACCAAACUCUUCUUGUGUUGAUUCCCAAGAUCAAUAAUCCGGAUUCUCUCAAACUUUUUAGACCUAUUAGUCUUUGCACAGUGGUGUACAAGACUAUAACUAAAUUGGUAGCUAAUCGCCUCAAAGCCAUUUUGCCGCAAAUCAUUGGACCUGCUCAGACGAGUUUUGUUCCUGGGAGACAUAUAGUCGAAAACGUCAUUGUUGCCCAAGAAAUCAUCCACUCCAUGAGGAACAAAGGGGGCAAAACUGGUCAGAUGGCUAUCAAGGUUGACUUGGAAAAGGCGUAUGAUCGGUUGAGUUGGGAUUUUAUUCAGGAGACCCUGGGAGUGAUUGGGUUACCGAUGGAUUUGAUUCGUAUUAUAAUGGAGUGUAUAACCACAGUUUCAAUGCAACUCUUGUGGAAUGGUGAGCUCACGGAGAGUUUUAGCCCAUCUAGAGGAAUCAGACAAGGGGACCCUUUAUCCCCGUAUAUUUUCGUCAUGUGCAUCGAGAGACUAAGUCAUGGUAUCAAUCAUGCAGUUGGGAAUGGGCGUUGGAAACCAAUCAGGCUUAAUCGUGGAGGUAUUCCUAUUACUCAUUUAUUUUUCGCUGAUGAUCUUCUUCUUCUAGCGGAGGCUACUAGUCAAAAUGCGCAGGUGAUCAAUGAGGUCUUGGAUAAUUUUUGUGUAAGCUCUGGAGAGAAGGUGAGUAGAGAAAAGACCCAAAUUUUCUUCUCUCGAAAUGUUCAGAAGGGCACAAUCCGAGAGAUAAAGAACACACUCGGAUUUUCAGUUACAAAGAAUUUCGGUAAAUACCUUGGUAUGCCCAUCCUUCACUCCCGAGUUACCAAGGCAACUUAUCAAGAUAUUUUAGAUAAAGUUCAACAGCGUUUAUCAGGCUGGAAUGCAAAGCAUCUUUCUCUAGCGGGCAGGAUCACCUUGGCACAAUCAGUAUUACAAGCUCUCCCAAUUUAUGCCAUGCAAUCAACGAAAAUUCCAACUUCGGUUCUUACCAAAAUUGAGCAAAGCUGUAAGCAUUUUAUUUGGAGUGGAAAUGCAGAACAAAGAAAAUUGAAUCUCAUCCGGUGGGACACUCUUUGUCAACCCAAGUCAUGUGGGGGCCUUGGUCUUAAAGAUUUAUCUCAUAUGAAUAUGGCUUUGCUGAUGAAAAUUGGGUGGGGUCUAGUCAACUCUCCUAAUACCUUUUGGGUCCAGGUGCUGGCUUCUAAGUAUAAGGUUGAUACCACUGAUCUUCCUAGCAGCUUACAAACGAGGAACGGGUCUUAUUUGUGGCGUGCUGUGGGGAAGGUUUGGGAUCAUGUGUUGAAGGGAACUCGUUGGGCUCUUGGGGAUGGAAAAAGAGUGAAAUUUUGGUGGGAUUUAUGGCUCAGUGAGGCUGAUAGCUUACAAUCAUAUGCCACGAACCCAAUUCCUGACCAGUUGAUUAAUUUAUGUGUGGCUGAUUUUUCAGACAACUAUGGUAACUGGAAUUGGUAUUUAUUUGCUCAUUUGCUGCCCAACCACAUAAUUCUAAAGAUUGCUUCAAUUAAAGCUCCUUGUGCUCUUAGUGGUGAGGAUCAAUGUUACUGGGCUUACUCUAAUACAGGACAAUUCACAGCAAAAUCUGCAUACCUCUCAUUGCACCAGUCCUAUAAUGUGGCCGAUAAAUCUUUGUGGAAUUUGGCUUGGAAAUGGAAUGGCCCUCAAAGUAUCAGAACAUUUAUUUGGCUCGCCAUGAACAAUAGGCUGAAAACAAAGUCAGAGCUUUUUCGUAGGCACAUUACUACGGAUGCUAAUUGUUGUAGUUGCGGCCAUCACCUAGAAGAUACCAUUCAUGUGUUGAGGGAUUGCAUCAUUGCUCGGCAUGUGUGGUUCAGGUUGGUGCCUCAUACUUUAUGGAAUAAUUUUUUUGAUUUGGACUUGACGAGUUGGAUUUACUACAAUCUCAAGAACACGGGAUUGAUUAGGAGAGAUGAGAAUUGGCCCUGUAUUUUUGGUGUUGCUCUGUGGCGGAUUUGGUAUUGGAGAAAUCAAUUCAUUCACAAGGCAGCAAACAUCAGUGUUGCAAAUAUUGUGCUUGACAUCACGCAUCGCGCGGCCGAAAUCAAUGCAUCCAUGGAGAAUAUCUGUCGACCAGGACAUGAAAGGAUAAUCAAAUGGUUAAAGUGGAUGGCCCCACCUUGGCCUUUCUUUAAACUAAAUACAGAUGGUGCUCGGAAAAUUUCAGGAAAUGCAAGUGCAGGUGGUCUCAUUAGAAAUUAUUGUGGAGAAUGGGUUCACGGUUUUGGCAUGAAUAUUGGCCAUUGUACUAUUACUGGGGCGGAGCUUUGGGGUCUUCUUCAAGGGUUGCAACUUGCCUGGAAUAUUGGGAUUAGACAAUUACUGGUUGAAGUUGAUAGUCGAUGCAUCACUGAGAUCUUAGCCACAGAUACCAAUUAUCCCAAUGCUAAUUCCUCUCUUAUUCAGGGAAUUAAAAGACUUCUUAACAUGGAAUGGCAGGUAUCCCUGUCACACUGCUAUAGAGAAACAAAUUAUGCAGCCGAUUACCUCGCCAAUCAAGCUCUUCUUUUGCCUCUUGGGGUCCAUGUGUUUCCAACGCCUCCAUCCGGAACUGAAGGGUGGCUGUUGCACGAUGUAUCUGGGACUGCUUACCCACGAAUGGUCAUUGCUUAGUUUUUAACUUAGCCCUUUUUGUAUCAAAAAAAAAAAAAAAGGACUACUUUAUUAAUAAACUUAUAGUUUUAUUAAUAAAGUGAAAUAAUAAAUUUAAUAUAAAGAAUAGUAUAAAGAAUUUAAAUAAACAAUACCUUGCAUAAUACACUAAACAUUAAUGUUAUUCAAUACAGCUUAAGUAACAUAAUGUGGUGCACUAAACACGCCAUAAGUUUUUACAAAUUUGAUGCUUGAGAUAUUACAUCUUCAUUUUUGCGGCGCACAUUAUUUUGGAUGAAUCUUGUUAUUUGCAUAGUAUUGUUGUUAGGAUUUCACUUGAUUUAUUCUAAAUUUUCAGGGACAAAUUAAUAGAAAAUGGCGUCUACGAGCAUCCAAAAUGUCUCUCAGGGGAAAUAUGAUGUCUUCUUAAGCUUUAGAGGAGAAGACACUCGUAAAAGCUUCACGGAUCAUCUCUCUACGGCUUUAAAAAAUAAACGCAUUUAUGUAUUCAGGGAUGACAAAGAACUUCAGAAAGGAGUAUCCAUUUCACCUGGACUCCUUAAAGCAAUUGAAGAAUCAAGAAUUUCAGUUAUUGUUCUCUCAAAAAACUAUGCUUCUUCCACUUGGUGCUUGGAUGAACUUGUUAAGAUCGUUGAAUGCAAAAACAGAGAAGAUCAAAUUUUUCCAAUUUUCUAUGAUGUGGAACCGACGGUGGUGAGAAAACAGACGGCAAGUUUUGGAGAAGCUUUUGCUAAACACGAAAAAGUUUUUAGGAAUAAUGUAGAAAAGGUGCAAAAGUGGAGAGACGCUUUAAAAGUGGUGGCUAAUAAAUCUGGCUGGGAAUUGAAGGACAGGUAAUCAUUCUUAUUCUCUAUUAUUAAUUCUGUUUUCUUUUUUCUUUUUUUUUUUGGUUUUGCAUGAUUAGUAACUAUGAAACAGAUUUUAGUAUUCAUGAUUCAACACUUUUUUCAAUUACAAUAGUAGUACUAUUAAUGAAUUAAUAUUUGCAAAUGAAGAUUUAAAUUAUUGUAUUUUGAACUUUUGAAGACUAUAUAAUAUGUUGUGAUGCUUUGUCCUCUAUUAAUCAGAUUUAAAAAAAAAAAGAAACUUUAUUCUUUGAUUGACUCUUUGCUAAAUACUAAUAAGAGCAACGAACACCAAUGAUAUAUCAAUAUCAUUGCAUAUUUAGCUAAUCUAAUUAAUUUCAUGUGUGUAAUAAUGAUCUUAUCAAAAACUUAUCUAAAAUCUCUUUCAAUCUAAUUUAUCAUGUUAUAGAAAGAAAUAAUAUAUCAAUAAUGAAUGAAAAAAAACUGCAGAAGAAAUUAAAUAAUUUUUGAACCCUCAAAUCCCAAUGCAACACAAUCCAUACCAUGUUUAUUGUGUCGAGUUUGAAUUUUCUCAUUCCAAUUGCUUUUGACUUAACUAUAGCAGGUUACUUAAUUAUAUGACUUCAAUUUGAUGAAAUGAUAUUGCAAAGUUUGGAUUUUAUACAUAAUAUGAAAUUGAUUUGCUACUACUUCACACUAGCUUUACCACACCAAUAUUUUCUUGUUGCUUUCAAUAUGCAGAAAUGAGUCAGAAUUUAUUGAGGAAAUUGUCAAUGUGAUAUCAAGUAAAAUUCAUACAGAGCCAAAGACUGUUAAGGAGUUGGUAGGAAUAGAAUCACGCUUGGAGAAACUCAGGUUUCUUAUGGGUACAGGGUCUACUGAUGUUCGUAUGAUAGGGAUAUGGGGUAUGGGAGGUCUGGGAAAGACAACUCUUGCAAGAGUUGUUUAUGACUUGAUCUCUCAUGAAUUUUAUGCGAGUAGUUUCCUUGCCGAUGUUAGAGAAAGAUUUGAAAAAGAAGGCAGUGUAAUCUCUUUACAAAAGCAACUCCUUUCCAAUUUACUGAAGCUUGGAGAUAUUAGCAUAUGGCAUGUAGAUGAUGGUAUUAACAUAAUUGGAAGUAGACUGCGACAGCAAAAGGUUCUUCUUGUAAUCGAUGAUGUAGCUGAUGUUGAACAACUACAAAGUUUAGCUGGAAAGCGUGAUUGGUUCGGUCUAGGCAGCAGGAUUCUAAUAACAACGAGAGAUAAACAGUUGUUGGUGGCACAUGAAGUGGAUGAAGAGCAUAUUCUUAACCUUGAUGUACUAAAUGACGAUGAAGCUCUUCAACUCUUUAGUAUGAAAGCUUUUAAAAGCCAUCAGCCAGUGGAAGAAUAUGUGGAGCUGUCUAAACGUGUUCUGAACUAUGCCAGUGGUCUUCCAUUAGCUCUAAAAGUUUUGGGAUCCUUUCUUAUUGGUAGAUCUGUGGAUCAGUGGAGAAGUGCCCUAGAGAGACUAAAAAGAGAUCCUUCAAAUAAGAUUAUGAGUAUACUUCAAAUAAGUUUUGAUGGACUACAAGAUUCUGAGAAGAAAAUAUUUCUCGAUGUUGCAUGCUUCUUUAAACAGAAAAAUAGAGAUUACGUAACAAAAAUUCUAGAGGGAUGUGGUUUUUUCCCAGUCAUUGGAAUAGAAGUUCUUAUUGAAAGAUCUCUAUUAACAGUUGACGACUACAACACACUGGGGAUGCAUGAUUUGUUACAGGAAUUGGGACAACUGAUUGUUACAAGACAAUCCCCCGAAGAACCUGGGAAACGCAGCAGAUUAUGGAGGCAAGAAGAAGUGCGCCAUGUGUUGACAAAAAAUGCGGUAAGUGAAUUAUUAAAUGGAGAACAUGUUGUGCUCAUUAAUUUCCUUUACCCUGAUGAAUUUUAAAAUUAUUGUUUUAUUUGCUUAUCCUUUGCUUAUGUUUUCAGGGAAGUGAAGUAGUUGAAGGAAUGAUAAUUGAUGUUCAUUUCUUUCUUAAAAAUGAGGUGCGUUUAAGUGCUAAAGCAUUUUCGCUGAUGACCAACCUAAGAUUUCUCAAUAUUGGUAAUGUGCAACUACCUGAAGGCCUUGAAUACCUAUCUAACAAGUUGCGGUUACUUAAUUGGCAUCGAUAUCCUUUGAAAUCAUUGCCAUCAAAUUUGCAAUUGGAUAAAAUUGUUGAAUUUCAAAUGUGUUACAGCCACAUUGAAGAAUUAUGGAAAGGAAUCAAAGUAAGAUCAGUGUUUUUGUCACUAAUUUAUUUUUUUAGUGAAUAAUUGUUGAUAACAAUUUUAUUAUUAUAACUGUAUAUGAAUUAAGAAAUAUCAUUUUAACUCCCUUUUGUUUUCAACAGCCUUUAAACACGUUGAAAGUCAUGAAGCUCAGCCAUUCAGAGAACCUGAUAAAGACCCCAAACUUCAUAGAGGUCCCCAACUUAGAGGUGUUGGAUCUUAAAGGAUGUACAAGUUUGCGUGAAAUUCACUCGUCUUUGCUACGUCACAAUAAGCUGAUCUUGUUGAAUUUGAAAGGUUGUACAAGUCUUACAACUCUUCCGGGUGAGAUUUUUAUGAAAUCUCUUAAAACACUUGUUCUUUCUGGUUGCUUGAAAUUGAGGAAAUUUCCACACGUUGGGGGAAGUAUGGAGUGUCUGCAGGAACUUUUUUUGGAUGAAACUAAUAUCAAAGAAAUGCCACUAUCAAUUGAACAUCUAUCCGGACUUGUUCAAUUGACUUUGAAAGACUGCAAAAAUCUCUCGAGUCUGCCGGUUACUAUUAGCAGUUUAAAAUGUCUAAGAACUCUAAAGCUAUCUGGUUGCUCGAAAUUGAAAAAGUUUCCAGCGAUUGUGGCAAGUAUGGAAGACCUGUCCGAGCUCUAUCUGGAUGGAACUUACAUUACAGAAGUGCCAUCAUCUAUUGAACUUUUGACCGGACUGGAAUUGUUGAAUUUGAAUGACUGCAAAAAUCUCGUGAGACUUCCCAACAGUAUAAAUGGUUUGAAAUCACUCAAAACUUUGAAUCUCUCAGGCUGCUGCAAACUUGAAAAUGUGCCUGACACGCUUGGGCAAGUAGAAAGUUUGGAAGAACUUGAUAUAAGCGGAACAGCUACAAGACGACCUCCAUCCUCCAUUUUUCUUAUGAAGAAUCUUAAAACACUCUCUUUUUCUGGGUGCAAUGGACCACCAUCAACUGCAUCAUGUCAUUUGAACCUUCCUUUUAAUUUGAUGAGAAAGAGUUCAUGUCCUGUAGCUUUGAUGUUGCCUUCUCUGUCAGGUUUGUGCUCUUUAUCUAAAUUAGAUCUCAGUGACUGUGGUCUAAGGGAAGGAGCAAUCUUGAGUGAUAUUUGCAACUUACACUCAUUAAAAGAGUUGUAUCUGAGUGGAAACAAUUUUGUUACGCUGCCAGCAAGCAUUAGCGGUCUCUUUAAUCUUAAAUAUCUAGAGUUGGAAGAUUGUAAAAGGCUUCAAUCUCUGCCACAACUUCCACCCAACGUAAUCAAAGUUAGUGUGAAUGGUUGUGCAUCGUUGUUGACAUUAUUAGGUGCAUUAAAACUACGCAAGUCCAGCUGGACGACAAUUUAUUGUAUAGACAGCUUGAAAUUGCUCGAAAAGAACGAUUUGGCAAUUUCAAUGCUACGAGAGCACCUUGAGGUCAGUCUCUUACUCCGUAUCUUACAACUAUGCUAAGAUUAUGCUUGGCAAUUAAGCAACGGUAUGGACUUGUUCAUUUUUUAUUUUUCAGUUGCAGGCAGUGUCAGAUUCAGACCGUAACUUGAGCAUUGUUGUCCCAGGAAGUGAAAUUCCAAAGUGGUUCAUGUAUCAGAAUGAGGGUUCUUCAAUAACAGUCACAAGGCCUUCAUAUUUGUAUAAUGUGAAUAAGGUCGUGGGGUAUGCUGUUUGCUGUGUUUUUCAUGUCCCCAAGCAUUCAACUGGUAUCACAGGAUGGAGGGGGCGUUCAGAUCCCAUAUAUAUGUUGGACUGCUCUAUGGAUGGUUCUAAUGGCAGGCAUGUUAUAGAGUUUAGAGAGAAAUUUGGUCAUCGUGGGUCUGACCAUCUUUGGCUACUCUUUUUGUCUCGAUAUAAACACUAUAAGAACAAUUGGCUUUUUGAAUCUCAUCAUUUUAAGUUGUCGUUUACUGAUGGUCUAGUGUUAAACCUUCUGACUGGGUCAGGUACUGGAUUGAAGGUGAAGAGGUGUGGCUUCCAUCCAGUUUAUAAACAAAAAGUCGAGGAGUUUGACGAAACAACAAAGCAAUGGACUCACUUUACUUCUUAUAAUCUGAAUCAAUUCCAUUGCGAUUUUGUUGGAUCAAAUAUGGAAGUAGCCACAACAUCAAAGCUAAGCCUUGCAGAAAAUGCCGGGGCAGCUGAGGCCAGUGGCAGUGGCUGCUGUGAUGAUGAUUAGGAACCACUCCCCUAAAAGAUUUAGACAACUUAAAUGAAGGGCAAAGCCUAGUAUAACAGUGUAAGUACGCAUUCCAAUUUCAAUUUAUGUUCUUUAAAUUUGCACAUGGUAUUUCAUUUUACUUUUUAUUUAUUCUAAUCUUGCAAUUUAUUUUCACGUUAAAUUACUAAAAAUGCUCGACUUGGAUUCAAAAGUUGGUCAGAAUCAGAAUGUUGCUCGACCAAAUUGAAGCUUUGAAUUUUGUGAUUUCUCAUCAGUUGAAAAUUACAGAAAGUGGGAAAAUCCGUUUUCGUUUUCUUACCUGUAUCUCUGUUUCAUUGCAGUGUUCUCUCAUUUUGUAUCCAUUAUUACAAGUGCGAGUUUCCUUUUC